rnacentral:tRNA from 1 species
GGCGCGAUGGCCGAGGAGUUAGGCAGCGGUCUGCAAAACCGCACACAUCGGUGCAAAUCCGAUUCGCGCCUCCA